CUGGCGGCGUGCUGUAACACAUGCAAGUCGAAACGCGAAAGUUUUCUUCGGAAGACGAGUAGAGUGGCGCACGGGUGAGUAACGCGUAAGUAAACCUGCCCUGGUAUCCGGGAUAACCCACCGAAAGGUGUGCUAAUACGGGAUACGCUGAUUUAUCAGGAAAGGUGGCCUCUUCAUGAAAGCUACUGUACCAGGAGGAGCUUGCGUACCAUUAGCUAGUUGGUAGGGUAAUGGCCUACCAAGGCGACGAUGGUUAGCGGGUCUGAGAGGAUGAUCCGCCACACUGGAACUGAAACACGGACCAGACAGCCUACGGGAGGCAGCAGUGAGGAAUAUUGCGCAAUGGGGGAAACCCUGACGCAGCGACGCCGCGUGGAUGAUGAAGGCCUUCGGGUCGUAAAAUCCUGUCAGAUGGAAAGAAAUGUAGUAUGCCUAAUACGUGUACUAUUUGACGGUACCAUCAAAGGAAGCACCGGCUAACUCCGUGCCAGCAGCCGCGGUAAUACGGAGGGUGCAAGCGUUGUUCGGAAUUACUGGGCGUAAAGCGCGCGUAGGCGGCUAUUUAAGUCAGAUGUGAAAGUCCACGGCUCAAC
rnacentral:rRNA from 1 species